UACGUAGGGACCAAGCGUUGUUCGGAUUUACUGGGCGUAAAGGGCGCGUAGGCGGCGUGACAAGUCACUUGUGAAAUCUCCGGGCUUAACUCGGAACGGUCAACUGAUACUGUGCGACUAGAGUGCGGAAGGGGCAACUGGAAUUCUCGGUGUAGCGGUGAAAUGCGUAGAUAUCGAGAGGAACACCUGCGGCGAAGGCGGGUUGCUGGGCUGACACUGACGCUGAGGCGCGAAAGCGUGGGGGAGCGAACAGG
rnacentral:rRNA from 1 species